UGGGGAAUAUUGCACAAUGGGCGCAAGCCUGAUGCAGCCAUGCCGCGUGUACGAAGAAGGCCUUCGGGUUGUAAAGUACUUUCAGUCGGGAGGAAGGUGGUAAGGUUAAUAACCUUAUCAAUUGACGUUACCGACAGAAGAAGCACCGGCUAACUCCGUGCCAGCAGCCGCGGUAAUACGGAGGGUGCAAGCGUUAAUCGGAAUUACUGGGCGUAAAGCGCACGCAGGCGGUUGAUUGAGUCAGAUGUGAAAUCCCCGGGCUUAACCCGGGAAUUGCAUCUGAUACUGGUCAGCUAGAGUCUUGUAGAGGGGGGUAGAAUUCCAUGUGUAGCGGUGAAAUGCGUAGAGAUGUGGAGGAAUACCGGUGGCGAAGGCGGCCCCCUGGACAAAGACUGACGCUCAGGUGCGAAAGCGUGGGGAGCAAACAGG
rnacentral:rRNA from 1 species